GUUGACCUCGGAUCAGGUAGGGAUACCCGCUGAACUUAAGCAUAUCAAUAAGCGGAGGAAAAGAAACCAACAGGGAUUGCUUCAGUAACGGCGAGUGAAGCGGCAACAGCUCAAAUUUGAAAUCUGACUCCUUGAGAGUCCGAGUUGUAAUUUGUAGAGGAUGUUUCGGGUUCCCGCUCCGGUUUAAAUUUCUUGGAACAGAAUGUCAAAGAGGGUGAGAAUCC
rnacentral:rRNA from 1 species